GAUGGGUUGUUUUUAAGUAUUCAACAAGAGCUCUCCUCGCGUCCCUGUCUUGGACACUACUAAAAACUGCACGACCAUGUCUUGGACUCUCUGAAAAGAUUGGGGGAGCACCGCGGGAGAAGAGAAGAGGAGAGUGAGAGGGACAGCGAAUGGGAUCAGAGUAAAGAGGCUCUAAUAGAAAGCUGUGGAACGGCGAGAGAAAAGAAGAAACCGGACAGCAGGACAUCAAAAAGAGCAGAGGCACCGGAGAAUGCUGACGCUGAACGGAGAGGAGAGGUGUUUUACCUGGAAAACACGCAUUUUUGGAGUCCACAACAUGGUGGCCGAGGAACAAGAACGGUGCUGGAUGUGAUGGCGCUCUACAAAGGCCAACAAUGGGAUAGGUUGUUUUCCGACUGUAACUAUAACGUUUCCUGCUUCAUAUGGGUUUGUAUCUAUAAAAUUAUUAAAUAUAACAUAUAAUAUAAGUCCAUUGUAUAAACGCUAGAUUGAAAUAAAAGCAUAAACCAACUCUCCUCAGCUAUGAAUAUAUAUUUUUGUGUGUUUUGUGCAGUGCAGUGUGAGCUCGAGAGGUUUGAACCAGCUACUCUCCUGUUUGCCCUAUUUUCUUAAAACUAGAUACAUUUUUUUAAUAGUAUGUUUGCGUUUACUUACUCUGUGUGCAUUGUAGCUAAAUUCAUUUCUCUCAGAUGUUCCUUUUGACCUUUGACCACAGAGUUGGGGUCAAGCCCUGACAAAUGAGAAGCCAGAGGUGCAAACAUUCCUCAACAGUUUUCUUCUCUGCUUUCCUCCCUCUCCUCUCAUAACCAUCAUCCUUCACUUUCUUAAGUAUUUUCACUUCAUUGUAUGGCAGUCAGAGAGCCACCAUUACAAAUACUGUAAAAGAUGAUUCUCCAGCAUCUUCCUCCCUGCGUAGGUGAAUAGAUUGAUGUAAAAGAGAAAGCGUGUUUAACAGUGGGUAUGGGUAUUACAGGGCGGCACUUUGCGUGUACAUGUGUGUGUUUGGAGAGCUUGUCAACCAUGUCAAGGAUGAGAUGGAUGUUGCAGUGUGGUUUGUUACACACACUACUGGCUCCAGCAUUUCCGGCAACAUUUCUCACUGUGCCUCCCUCACACCAUCCGCUCGGCUGCAAUAAUCCCCACUUUUUCCAUCUCCUACCCCUGCCCCAACCCCCUCCUCUCCUCCACUGACCACCAGAGAGCUCCUUUCACCCUUCCUCUCCACUGCUCUCUGCUUUCUAUUCGUUGCUAUCUUGAACCGCUUUUUGCUACCUCAUGUUUUAAGGAGAAUUUAUCGUGUUAUUAUUCCUCCGCAGAGCAUUUCCAUAUUUCUGUAUUUUUUUAAAUCAAAAUUUUCUAGAUGGGUUUUGUAUUUUUGGUAACUAUCCUCGAAUAACCAAUAACCAAUAACAGUGUCAAUGAGGAGCUGCGUUCUUCCUGAUACAAAACUAUGCAUUUUGUCUUCCUGCUUUUCUGUGACUACAUUCUAAAAAUCACAUU